UACGUAGGGUGCAAGCGUUAUCCGGAUUUAUUGGGCGUAAAGGGUGCGUAGGCGGUCUUGUAAGUUAGAUGUGAAAGCUACAGGCUUAACUUGUAGUUGCGUCUAAAACUGCUUGGCUAGAGGAUGCUAGAGGAAAGCGGAACUCAUGGUGUAGCGGUGAAAUGCGUAGAUAUCAUGAGGAACACCAGUGGCGAAGGCGGCCACCUGGACAGUAACUGACUCUGAGGCGCGAAAGUGUGGGUAGCAAACAGG
rnacentral:rRNA from 1 species